AAUAGAUACCCUGGUAGUCCACGCUGUAAACGGUGGGUACUAGGUGUGGGGUCCAUUCCACGGGUUCCGUGCCGUAGCUAACGCUUUAAGUACCCCGCCUGGGGAGUACGGCCGCAAGGCUAAAACUCAAAGGAAUUGACGGGGCCCCGCACAAGCGGCGGAGCAUGCGGAUUAAUUCGAUGCAACGCGUAGAACCUUACCUGGGUUUGACAUGGAUCGGGAGCGCUCAGAGAUGGGUGUGCCUCUUUUGGGGUCGGUUCACAGGUGGUGCAUGGCUGUCGUCAGCUCGUGUCGUGAGAUGUUGGGUUAAGUCCCGCAACGAGCGCAACCCUUGUUCACUGUUGCCAGCACAUUAUGGUGGGACUCAGUGGAGGCCGCCGGGGUCAACUCGGAGGAAGGUGGGGAUGACGUCAAGUCAUCAUGCCCCUUAUGUCCAGGGCUUCACGCAUGCUACAAUGGCUGGUACAGAGAGUGGCGAGCCUGUGAGGGUGAGCGAAUCUCGGAAAGCCGGUCUCAGUUCGGAUUGGGGU
rnacentral:rRNA from 1 species